rnacentral:tRNA from 1 species
GGCCUGUUGGUGAAGUGGCUUAACACAUUACCCUCUCAAGGUAACAUUCACGGAUUCGAAUUCCGUACAGGCUACCA